rnacentral:rRNA from 1 species
GACGAACGCUGGCGGCGUGCCUAAUACAUGCAAGUAGAACGCACAGUUUAUACCGUAGCUUGCUACACCAUAAACUGUGAGUUGCGAACGGGUGAGUAACGCGUAGGUAACCUGCCUGGUAGCGGGGGAUAACUAUUGGAAACGAUAGCUAAUACCGCAUAAUAUUGAUUAUUGCAUGAUAAUUGAUUGAAAGAUGCUAUUGCAUCACUACCAGAUGGACCUGCGUUGUAUUAGCUAGUAGGUGAGGUAACGGCUCACCUAGGCGACGAUACAUAGCCGACCUGAGAGGGUGAUCGGCCACACUGGGACGGAGACACGGCCCAGACUCCUACGGGAGGCAGCAGUAGGGAAUCUUCGGCAAUGGACGAAAGUCUGACCGAGCAACGCCGCGUGAGUGAAGAAGGAUUUCGGAUCGUAAAGCUCUGUUGUAAGGGAAGAACGGGUGUGAGAGUGGAAAGUUCACACUGUGACGGUAUCUUACCAGAAAGGGACGGCUAACUACGUG